CAUUUUAGGUUCUAUGCCCUGUUCUUAUUUCAAUCCACGUGUUCUGGCUGCUUCUUAUACGUGGCUUUCAUCCAAGUGCCGUAUGUGUUCAUCCGAAAAAUCUCAUUGUAUCCUUUCUCUCAUAGUAAAUCAAUUUUCUCAUCAUAUCUUCUCAGCUUAGUGUUGUGAAAUUUCCAGGUGAAUCAAGAAAUUAUGUGGGUAUGGGACCUUGGGCUUCAUGCUGAAGAAAGAAGGUGUUGGAGAUGAAAAUGGUGAUAAGGAAGGUUUAUUAAUGGUUGAACGAAGCAGAGAGAGUAAAGAGAAAGCUCUAGGGAGUGAAGUAGCCAUUGAGGGCUGGAGGAAAAAAAAACUCUCACCUGGUGGAUAAUUAGCACUUAGCAGGAUUUUAUUGAAAUGUCGAAUAAAAUGAAAAGUGUCCAUCAGUAUUUGGUGUUAUUUCACAAUUGACUAGCUACUAUUUGUGGGGUAUUGGUGGUAAUGGAACUAUGGGUUUCUUGGUGAUUCAUUUUGAUGGAGGGCUACGAACUCUACAGAGAAUAGAAAGAUAUGGCUUUUGUUUAUUUUCUUCACCAAAAUAAAUAAAUUGAACUAGAGGAAGAAGAAGAAUAGGGAUGACUCCAUUCAGGAGCUUGCUGGGCAUUCUCGGCGUGUGGAGCCAUGGAGGGAAUAAAUGCAAUAGUCGCAGAUGAAGUUAUUAGCCUCUCUAAAUAAGAACUUAUCGGUUAUAUAGCUAUAAAGUUGGAUUUAUGGACCCUGCUUUUGAAUGGGUGAUCAACAAUAGUGGCAUUUCAGUAGUUGGUUAUCCCUUAACUGCCUUUCAAGGCACUUGCAAUUACAACUAGGAAUGUGAUAAUUAAUUUCAUAUCAAGUUACAUCUUUCAAAUAUUUUCCUUUUUCAAAACUUGAUCGUAGUUCUAAUAAUUUGCUCGGCAAGCAAUUAAGAAAUUCUAUGACCCAACUAUCUCAUGUUAUGCUCGAUGUGUUGUUUAUAAAACAAAUAUUCUUUGAUGUAUGAUUUUGUAAUUGUAUUUGAUUCUGGCUUUUAAUUUAUGUUUUGCCAAUGGUAAGUUGUUCCAAUUUGAAUUAAUGAACUAACAUUUAUAUGAAUUGUAUUAUUUAUAUAUUUAAUUUCAAGUUGUUGAGCAUGGGCAUAUCUCAUCUAGUCAUAACUAGUAACAUGAGUUCUAUGACCAUCCAAGGAGAAUGAUAGAACUUUCCGAGGGUGGCUUACUAGCUUAUGAAGCACGCAUGGAAUUUUUCAUUGCCCUAAGAACGAAUUUUCUCUUCUAAACAAAAAGGGAAUCAUUCUCUUCCCUUGAUUGAAAUCAAAGUAACCUGGUUUGAUACCCUUGUGAAUGAUUUAGAGAGAGGAAUCAGUUGGAAGUCUAUGAAUUUUCUAACUAAAAAACGCAUGCAUGGAAGCCAGCGCAGGAUUAAUUUCUGAAUUUGAUCCAUCUAGUGAGUGGCACAAGGAGGAAUUUGAUGUUCUUAUAGUCCAUAUCCCAGAAUUCACCAAUAAACAAGGCUUGAAGGUGCAAAUUAGCAAUUUGGGAGCGGUUAAGAUUUCUGGAGAUCGUCAAGUGGGUAAUUCAAGAAUUAGAUUUUAUAAGGAGUUCCCAAUACCAAAAGACUAUAAUACAGAUGAAAUCCAAGCAAGACUUGCAAAAGGUUUUCUCAAGAUUUCAUUUCCAAAGAAAAGUUACAGCCCCUCCUAAAGCAGAUGAAGAAACAAUACCAACUUUAAAAGAGGGAUAU